CUCCGUCCCCCGCCGGCCUACCACUAUCUAGACACCUCCUGCCCUCUCCAUAUGGCUCCGCGGGAUUGUUUCCCUCCCUAGCCCGACUUCUCCAAUAAACAGCAACUUCCUGCUUCUCCAGCAAGUCGCAUAAGAAGAACUGGAAUCUUGACACUACAACUCCUGACAGGACGCCCCUGCGGCAUCCAGAGACAGGGAAGCCAGUGCUGCUCUGCAUGUUCAGGGCGAGUAGCUGAGAGUCUCCUUCCGGCCUGGAUACUGAGGAAGGUGACUUAGACUUUCUCUCCGUCCUCUGAGUCGUAACGGACGGACACGCAAGGGCCGAGGACGGGUACAAGCAGCAGCGACUAGAACUGAUCUGGGUGAGAUCUAGGCCUCAGCAACAACUGACGCAAAAAGAUUUUGUUCUAGGAUUGGCUACAGCUGAAACUACCGCGCUUGAUUCAAAGCUCGGGGCUUGCAGCGGGAGGCAGCUGGCUCCUCCCUCUGAACCCGCCCCCUUUGGCUGGCCCAAUCCGCUGAUCCCAUCCUCUUAGGCCCUGCCCAGACUCCAAAUCUACCAGAAUUAAUGCUCCCAGCGCUGUUUGUCCACUCCUGCCUAUGAUUUGCUGUGUGACUACUACUCGUGGGGGUACCGUGAUUAGACGCUUUAAAGCUAUUAGCUAUCUUGUUUAAUAUUAACAAUGCUACUAGUGA
rnacentral:lncRNA from 1 species